rnacentral:lncRNA from 1 species
AAAUUCAGCCCAGCGCAAUUGCUCUUGUGGCGCCCGCCAUGGAUACUGAGGCGCCCGCCACAACGUCUGAUAAACUUGGGGUAGAUUCACAUAUUUCACCAUUUUUAACCUUUCCAACCUCCAAAACCCAUUUUUUCCUCUUCCAAAAACUCCCUUGAACCCCAUAAAAGCUCCUACAUUUCUCAUCUUCCCACCAUACAAUUUA